UGCCAAUCUUAAUUGGCCAAACUAAAAGAGAAUAAAGGUUUGGAGUGACAACCUAUCAGACAUAGUUGUUCAAUCCGCAUCGUUUAACUAAACAGUUAUACCCUCAAAACGACUCAUUUUAAUAUUCUCCUUACACGUACUGUUUACUAACAUCAUUAUCCAAGCGUAACAUUUUGUGUUAAAUGACACUAACAAAAGAUUAACAGAAAUUUAACAUGAAUUUAAACAUAUAAUAGUUGCUCUAAUUGUUCCAUAUAAAAUAUUUCCCCCCACGAACACGAUCCUUGUCCUCAAGGAUCAAACGUUGGAUACUUCUGUUGCAACUCGACCAAACUCUCUCAGGUGGAAUCUUCAGGAAAAGUGUUCGCCCAUUCGAUCAGUACUUCUGUAAUUGCCUGAUUCCCUCGUUUCACCAUUUGUCAUUCCAAAACCCUUACUAGUAUCUUAUCCAGAGUACCAUGGACAUCUAUAGGAGGUAGCGUUAGAGUGCUGACAGCUGAACCAAUGUGCUUUUUUAGUUGGGAAACAUAUGAGGUGGAAU
rnacentral:lncRNA from 1 species